rnacentral:rRNA from 1 species
AUUGAACGCUAGCGGGAUGCUUUACACAUGCAAGUCGAACGGAGUGGCGAACGGGUGAGUAAUGUAUCGGAACGUGCCUAGUAGCGGGGGAUAACUACGAGACAGCGGAGCUAAUACCGCAUACUAUUGGAGCAGCCGAUAUCGGAUUAGCUAGUUGGUGGGGUAACGGCUAACCAAGGCGACGAUCCGUAGCUGGUUUGGGAGGAAGACCAGUCACACUGGAACUGAGACACGGCCCAGACUCCUACGGUAGGCAGCAGUGGGGAAUUGUGGACAAUGGGUGCAACCCUGAUCCAGCCAUCCCGCGUGUGCGAUGAAGGCCUUCGGGUUGUAAAGCACUUUUGGCAGGAAAGCGGUACCUGCAGAAUAAGCACCGGCUAACUACGUGCCAGCAGCCGCGGUAAUAC